rnacentral:rRNA from 1 species
AGUGAACGCUGGCGGUAGGCCUAACACAUGCAAGUCGAACGGCAGCACAGUAAGAGCUUGCUCUUACGGGUGGCGAGUGGCGGACGGGUGAGGAAUACAUAGGAAUCUACUUUUUCGGGGGGGAUAACGUAGGGAAACUGACGCUAAUACCGAAUAUGUUCUACGGGAGAAAGCAGGGGUUCUUGGGACCUUGCGCGACUCAAAGAGACGAAGUCGGAUUAGCUAGUUGGCGGGGUAAAGGCCCACCAAGGCAACGAUCCGUAGCUGGUCUGAGAGGAUGAUCAGCCACACUGGAACUGAGACACGGUCCAGACUCCUACGGGAGGCAGCAGUGGGGAAUAUUGGACAAUGGGCGCAAGCCUGAUCCAGCCAUACCGCGUGAGUGAAGAAGGCCUUCGGGUUGUAAAGCCCUUUUGUUGGGGAAGAAAAGCAGCAGAUUAAUACCCCGCUGUUCUGACGGUACCCAAAGAAUAAGCACCGGCUAACUUCGUG